UCCCUGGUGGCUCAGACAGUAAAGAAUCUGCCUGCAGUGCAGGAGACCCAGGUUCGAUCCCUGGGUGGGGAA
rnacentral:tRNA from 1 species